rnacentral:rRNA from 1 species
AUGGAUAGUAAUCGUGCUCCAGGCCCGGAUAAUAUACCAGCAGAAUUCUAUAGGUUCUGUUGGGACAUUGUUAAACAAGAUAUCUUGAAUUUAUUUGUGGCCUUCCAUGAAGGCUCCUUAGAUGUGGAGAGGCUGAAUUACGGCAUCAUCACUCUCAUUCCCAAGAUUAGUGGAGCAAAAAUCCAAGAGUUUCGUCCCAUAUGCCUCCUCUGAUGCCCUUACAAGCUGAUUACCAAGGUUCUGGAUAACAGGGUGGCUGUUUUUGCUGAUAAGCUCAUCAGCCGCCAUCAAAAUGCUUUUAUAAAAAAGUGA